GAUGAACGCUGGCGGCGUGCUUAACACAUGCCAGUCGAACGGAAAGGCCCUGCGUUUGUGGUGUGCUCGAGUGGCGAACGGGUGUGUAACACGUGAGUAACCUGCCCUUCUCUUUGGGAUAACUUCACGAAACUGGGGCUACUACCGUACAGGAGCUCCUGCUGCAUUGUGGGGGUUGGAAAGUUUCGGCGGUUGGGGAUGGACUGGCGGCUUAUCGGCUUGUUGGUGGGGUAGUGGUUUCCCAAGCCUUUGACGGAUAGGCGGCCUGAGAGGGUGACCGGGCACAAUGGGCCUAAGAUACGGACCAGACGCGUACGGGAGGCAGCAGUGGGGAAUAUUGCACAAUGGGCGGAAGCCUGAGGCAGCAGCGCUGCGUGCGGGAUGACGGCCUUCGGGUUGUGAACCGCUGUCGCCUGUGACGAAGCGGGAGUGACGGUAAUGGGUAAAGAAGCACCGGCUAACUACGUA
rnacentral:rRNA from 1 species